CGCGUAAAUAUGUAAAAUCAUAGUAAGCAUGGUUAGCAUAAGUAUUGUAUCGGACCUAGGUAUAAUCUUUUCUUUUCAUAUAUUAUUCUGUACAUUUUCAUUUUUAAUAUGCUAAAACAAAUUUAAAGAUGCUUUUGAUUCAAAACCGAAAGCACGUUCCCAGAUAAAAUAUAAAUACUGAUGCACUCAAAUUGCAAGCGAUGCAUGCACAACAUAGUAUACUAACUCUGUUGAUGCACAUUGCCUGACCUUCGUAAGAGUUUAUGCAAUUCCCACAGUAAUCCGAAGAUGUAUAUAAAGUUGGAUUCAUUAAAAGAGUUCAACAUUUUUUUAUUGCAUAGCGGAACGUAAAUGAUAAUGCAAGCUGUAACAAAUAAUGUUAUGCUAUAUUAUAGAUAAUGUAUCUCCCUCGUGCAAAGCUCUGAUUCCUUUCACGAAUUUGGCUUUACUUUUUGGACCUUUUGGAUUAUAGCUCUUCAUCUUUUAUAUAAGCUUUGGAUUUCAAAUAUUUUGGCCACGAGCAUCACUGAAGAGACAUGUAUUGUCGAAAUGCGCAUC
rnacentral:lncRNA from 1 species